rnacentral:lncRNA from 1 species
AAGAUACUCGAAGUAAAAAUUACCCGGUACUCCCUGCUAUGUUUCAAGGGGGUUGAGUUCUACUCCCUACCACCGUGCGAAUUAAGCGAUGCUGCGCUUUCCGAUAACGAGGGCAGGGCUAAGAACGCUACCUGCCUCCCCGCGGACCAAAGCCGCGCACCCCUUCCGAGCAAAGAUCUCCGGGGAAGGGGCGGCGGGCACAGCCCCCGGCCGGUACCGGCCCCGCCACGUGCUGCCAGCGGCCCCCGCGCGCGGGGAGGCAGCGCCCCGCCCCCGUCCGCGGAACCGCCGGGGGGGGCGCCGAGAAACCCCGCCCCGCGAGCCCCGCUCGGCGCCCCCCGGGGAAGCGCGGCCUCUCGAGAGCGGCACCGCCCCCACGGCCCGAGCGCCGCGGAGCGCGGAGGCCGCGUGGGGCCGGAGAGCGAGGCGCCGCGAGCCGGCGGGAGCGGAACGGAGCGCUCCCCGCCGCGCCGCUCUCACCUCCGGGCUGCCGCCGGCGCCCGCCACCGCCUCCUCGCCGCCCCGGCCCUGACUGUGGCGCCGGUUCCGUCCCACCGCGCCGCCGCCGCCGCCGCUGCCUCCUCCCCGCGCUGCCUCCGCUCCGCGCGUCGCCAUGAUGUGACGGCAGCAUCCAAACAAGCUGCCCGGCCGAGCGCACCGGAAGCUCUCCCGGACGCCCGCCCCUUUUCCGCCGGCAGCCAAUCGCCGCGCGGCCCUCCGCCUCACGUGGGAGGUUCGCGCCCUCCCUGCUCCCCCCGGCCCGAGCGCGACUCUCUCCCCCGGCAGCGAUGGGGCUCCCCGAGGCGAGCGGACUGCGCUUCCCGGCGUGCUCCGCGCCCGGGGCCGAGCGUGGCAUACCCGGAGCAGCCGUCGGGUCCGCCGUGGGGAAUACUGGGAGAUGUAGUCCGAGCGGCGCACCGAAGCACCUCGCGGGACGGCGGGAGGCCGCUGAGGCUUGCAGCGCGGUUGCGGGGCGAGGAGUUUUAUCGCGGGCUGGUGGCGGCGGGAGAGCAGCUCCCUCCCUGCUCCCGGCUCUGCUCCGCCUCCCGGUGCCGAUUAACGCUCCGAGCCGCGUUCGUCACCCCUUUGAAGGGACGGCCGAGCGGCGCCGCGGGCUGA